UACAGAGGUCUCAAGCGUUGUUCGGAUUCAUUGGGCGUAAAGGGUGUGUAGGUGGCGCCGUAAGUCGGGUGUGAAAUUUCGGAGCUUAACUCCGAAACUGCAUUCGAUACUGCGGUGCUUGAGGACUGGAGAGGAGACUGGAAUUCAUGGUGUAGCAGUGAAAUGCGUAGAUAUCUGGAGGAACACCGGUGGCGAAGGCGGCAUCCUGGACCGGCAUUGACGCUGAGGCGCGAAAGCGUGGGGAGCAAACAGG
rnacentral:rRNA from 1 species